GCUCGCUGUGGAAAUGGUGAAAAUAAUGAAUGGCGCCCAGUGGAGGCUGCUCUAUUUUGCAUUCAGGCUAUAUCAAUUUAUGUUUCAGUUGUUGAAGCUGAAGUAAUGCCUCAGAGUGCCAGCAUUUGAUGAUGCUGUCCAAAGUGCUUUAAUUGUUGGAGAUUACAAGGAGGCAGUUGCACAGUGCAUAUCUGCAAAUAAAAUGGCUGAUGCUUAAGUUAUUGCUCAUGUUGGUGGUGCAUCCUUGUGGGAGAGCACACGGGAUCAAUACUUUAAGAUUAGCUGAUCACCUUACCUAAAGGUUGUUUCUGCAAUGGUGAACAAUGAUCUCUUGAGCCUUGCAAAUACAAGGCCCCUCAAAUUCUGGCAAGAGACACUUGCACUUCUCUGCAGUGAUCAAUUCUGUUGGAUCAGUUUAAAGGUCAGGUUACAGUGACAAAGUUCAUUGCUGAGCAAAUCAUCUUUUGCAUUGGGAGCUUUGCAGUGUUUCUAUGCUGGAAUUAAGUCACCACUUACAUUGGAGAAAGAAGCCAGGGCGAUGCCUCUUGAAAAUUCUCAAACACAAAGUGCAGCAGUUUAUUGGGCUGAUCAAUCCAAUUGUGGCUAUGAUACCUCUCAAACAUAUUAUCAGGAAACUGAACCAUCACAAAUGCAGCCUAGUGGUCCCAGCAGACCAUAUGGAACUCCUGCUCCGUAUCAGCCCCCAAUAUAUUCCUUCCAUCACAGACU